UCGAGAAUUUUCCGCAAUGCACGAAAGUGUGACGGAGCGACGCCGCGUGCAGGAUGAAGGCCUUCGGGUUGUAAACUGCUUUUAUCAGGGAAAAACCAGCGAUGGUACCUGUUGAAUAAGAGGUUGCUAACUCUGUGCCAGCAGCAGCGGUAAUACAGAGACCUCAAACGUUAUCCGGAUUUAUUGGGCGUAAAGCGCUAAAUGGCGGUUCAGUAAGUUGGGCAUAAAAGCCCGGGGCUCAACCUCGGAUCUAUGCUCAAAACUACUAGACUAGAGGGUGGGAGAGGCAAGCAGAAUGGCUAGUGUAGCAGUAAAAUGCGUUAAUAUUAGCCAGAAUACCAAUGGCGAAGGCAGCUUGCUGGAACACACCUGACGCUCAAUAGCGAAAGCGUGGGGAGCG
rnacentral:rRNA from 1 species